CGUUACAUUGAAUUCUGCUCAGAUACUUCAACAUACUUUUAAAAAUAGAACUUAGAUUUAAUUUUAAACCAGGUUAUGCCUUCUCUCUUAAAUAAUAUAUAGUUGAAACAUAAAAGUAUUAGAAACCCUAUCUUAUUUUUUAUCUAUCUGAAAUAUAUAUAUCAUGACUUGUAUCCAAUUUUUGCUCUACUCAGAGCAGUUCCAUUGCAAUUAAAUUAGCUCCAUUAAUUUCAGUUUGGUAGCUGGGAAAUCAGCUGAAACUAAAGAAAGCACUUGGGGUGCUAUCUUUACUACACAACUUCCUUAAUUUUGCAGGCUGGUCAUACAGCUGUUCUGUGGCCACUGCUCCACCAUGAAUGAAGUGAGCUGAAAUGUAUGGCUUUCAGGUGAAGACCCCUACCAUUCUAAGAGAAUGAGGCAAGUGAUAUAUCAGCAGACACCUUUAGUUGUUUUUUCUGCUGGUUGAUAAUCCAUCUCUGUGAAAGCUAGUUUCUGAUUACCGUAUUUUUCGCCCCAUAGGACACACUUUUUCCCCUCCAAAAAUGAAGGGGAAAUCUGUGUGCGUCCUAUGGGGCGAAUGCAGGCUUUCACUGAAGCUUGGAGAGCGAGAGGCAUCGGUGCGCACCGACCCCUCUCACUCUCCAGGCUUCAGGAAGCUAUCCGCAAGCCUUGCAAGCCCUGCGGGAGUUCUCGCGGGCUCACAAGGCUUGUGGCAGCAGCCUGCAGCCCGAAGCACGGGGCGUCCUCCGGAGGGCGCCCCAUGCUUCGGGCAGGUGUGUCCGCAAGCCUUGCGCGCCCGGCGGGAGGUCCCGCCGGGCGUGCAAGGCUUGGGGCGGCAGCCUGCAGCCCGAAGCAUGGGGAGCCCUCCGGAGGGCUCCCCAUGCUUCGGGCAAGUGUCCGCAAGGACUUGGGGCGGCAGCCGCGGCUGGGGGGGAAAUAAUUUUUUUUAAUUCAUUUCCCCCCCAAAAAACGAGGUGCGUCCUUCUGCUUUAAUUUUAACCAAGAGAUAACUUGGUCAAAUGCAACAGACCACAGCAGGGCAGCACCACUGCCACUCACCAGUUGUGUUCUAACAAUGUUCCCAUGUUUGUCUUGCAUGAUAGGAACUUUUCAAUGCAUGCCGAAAGCCCUAGGUUUAAUCCCUGACAUCUCCAUAAAGGGCAGGGGGAAAACUAAAACCUUGGAUAGCUACUGCUAAUCAGUGUAGACAAUAAUGAGUUAAAUAAUGAUAAGGGCCCUUCCAUAUGUCCUUUUAAUUGUAUGGUCACGUUUAUUUGUGUUCAUGAUGGUAUCGGGUUGAUUAUACAUGAUGCUGUUCUUAGUAAUGUUUGCACCUGCAGUAGUUCUGGGGUGGACAUACUGCCAGCCUGGAGAGACCCUAAGGCAGCUUCCUGAGUUCACAAAGACAUCACAGUUCCCACUACAGUGCAUCUGUGACCCAAGCUGGACAUGGAAGCCAUUUCUGAGUUAAGCAGUUCUGUCUUUGCAUGCAUGCAUGCAAAUAUAGUGGAACCUCGUGUUACGUACUGUCAUCUUUGGGAACGAUGGGUUACAAGCUCCGCUAACCCGGAAGUAGAUGCCCCUUGUUGCGAACUUUGUCCCGGGAUGCGAGCGGAAGUCGCAUGCCAGCAGCGCAGCAGCAGCGGGAGGCACCAUUAGCAAAAGCGCGCCUCAUGUUACGAGCGGUUUCAGGUUACAAACAGACCUCCGGAACAGAUUAAGUUCGUAACUGGAAGUACCACUGUAUUCUGUUAAUGCACCCUAAAAAAUAGCAUUUACCUCUUUUUCUUCGUUUUCUUAAAUAUGCGCUGUGAUCCCGUGUAUUAUCUUUAUUAAAUGGUCUUUUACUCAGACCUAUGUUUUGGACCCAUGUUCUGAUUUAUCAUGUCUCUGCGGAGCUUUUAAUCUGGUCUCGUGUAGUAUUUGCAAAGCUUCACGAGUGGGAACCCUUGCUAGCCGGUGAUUUUUGUCUUUCUUUCUGUCCAGCGGGAUGCCAGACCAAACUUGUUUCAGCAGCACUCUCUUGCGACUUCUGAAUUCAGAAAGAAAAAUAGCUUUUAUGCUUUCCACCUUCCCCAUGGCCAGUCUCUAUGAGCCUCCUUGGAAAAAAAAAAGACAAGGAGGGGGGAAGGGGUUCAUAGGGGAAUGACUUGUGCUUGCACUGGUGCAAUUGGGGGACACUUUUAGGCUGGGCAACGACAUUCCAGGAAAGGUCUCAUUCUUGGGCUUGUUUUCCCAAAACAAAGGAAGCAGCCUUGCAUUGCUGGAAGUUGCGUGCUUUGGUUGUGCUGCCUUGUUAUCAUCCGAUAACCUGGCGACCCUGGCGCUGCCCUGCUCCUCACCCGGCAGCCUCGGGCUAGGGGAUGUGAACAGCUUCCGCACACUUGCCCUUGUGCACAGAUUCACCUUCCUUUCAGUGCAUAGCAUAGCAUGGUGUGUGUGUUACGCAUGCAGGGAUAGCAUUAGGGAGGGGUGUCUCUGAACCUUCUCUAUCUUCGCUUUCCUCAGCCCUGUGGUGAUGUAAUUCUGUGGACAGGCUACCAUGGAAGGGUAGAUUUCCCAUCAUGCAUCAAACAUCAUCAAAUGGCUAUUUUACACUUGCAAUCUCUGAAAGGAUUUUAUAAAAUUGUGGGUGGCUAUACUAAGAAUGAUGUUCUAAUUUCACACUUGGAAUGGCCCAAAGAGCGACGCGGGUGGCGCUGUGGGUAAAACCUCAGUGCCUAGGACUUGCCGAUCGCAUGGUCGACGGUUCGAAUCCCCGUGGCGGGGUGAGCUCCCGUCGUUCGGUCCCAGCUCCUGCCCACCUAGCAGUUCGAAAGCACCCUUAAGUGCAAGUAGAUAAAUAGGUACCGCUUUAUAGAGGGAAGGUAAACGGCGUUCCGUGUGCUGCUCUGGUGCCAGUUCGCCAGAGCAGCUUCGUCACGCUGGCCACGUGACCUGGAAGUGUCUGCGGACAGCGCUGGCUCCUGGCCUCUAGAGUGAGAUGAGCGCACAACCCUAGAGUCUGUCAAGACUGGCCCGUACGGGCAGGGGUACCUUUACCUUUAAUGUCCCAAAGACGUCUGAAAGUCAGUCAUAAUGGCACAAUUCAUUUAUUUAUUAGAAAUAUUUUUAUACCGCUUUUUAUAAAAUCUCAGAGCAGUGUACAAAGUUAACAUUCAAAACACAACAAUAAAAUCAUAUACACAAGGUUAAAUACAAGUUAAAUAUGAUGUCUCUUGCCCUGUUAAAUCAUCCAUUGAUAGGUUGCUAAUGAUGCAGUCUCCAUUGACUGGAGAAAGCAUAUUUGGGCUGUGGGCUGUGGGCUGUUGAUCUGACUCAGCCACAGAUCUUGUUGAAUGAGGGAUAUGAGGAGGAGAUUGUUUAGCUUUAUAGAUCGAAUGUAGUAUGUGAAAGCUGUGUGGGGUUUUUUAUAUUAAAAAUGUACAAAGAAUAGCUGCAUUACACACCCUGCAUAAAUUAUACAAAUUAAUAAAAUGUACAUAUAUUUAUUAUACAUAAUUUAUUCUGCGUCUCCAAAGCUUUUUUCCUCAUCCUGUAGUUAGAACACUGAAGUUUUACCCCUGCUCAGCUUCCCACUUUUCAGCAGGGAAUAUCUAAAAAUACAAGCUGUGGCUUGUGGACUUUAGAGCAGAUAUUGCUCACACUUUCAAGCCAAUUUUCACAAGCCUUGAGUUAUGGGAACUUUGCCUUGUUAAAGAUAAAACCUGUGGUACUAAGGGCCCUUCUGGAGCACCUUCACAGAUUUCACACAGUCCUGCCACCAGUAGGAAUGUGUGCUUUUACAUAGGCUAUGAAAAAGAGAGAGAAUACCUCGGGUUACAUACGCUUCAGGUUACAUACGCUUCAGGUUACACACGCUGCUAACCUAGAAAUAAUGCUUCAGGUUAAGAACUUUGCUUCAGGAUAAGAACAGAAAUUGGGCUCCGGCGGCAGCAGGAGGCCCCAUUAGCUAAAGUGGUGCUUCAGGUUAAGAACAGUUUCAGGUUAAGUACGGACCUCUGGAACGAAUUAAGUACUUAACCCGAGGUACCACUGUACAGUGUGUAGUAAGUAAAAGAAAUUAUUUUUUUUAAAAAACUCUAUUCAAGAUGGGCAGGGCCCUUCAGGUUUGCUCUGCAAAGAUUUUGAUGAAUUUCUAUAUUCAGAACUUGCUGAAACUUCCUGCUGGAUUCUAGAACUUCUUGCUCUUUCUGGGCUCUACUGCCAACCCUUGCUGCACAUGAACAGAGGCCUCAACAUUAAAAUUCCAAUGCUGGUUUGAUGGCGGAAGUCCUGGGUGGAUGCCCAAAUUUAGCACUGUAUUCUCAGAUAAGCUUAAUUUUGGUGACAUUAUUAGUACCCCCAUUUCCCAGGCUGGGGAGCAAGACCAAUUUUUUCCUCCUCCCCUGUUUUCAUAGGGUGAAAUCUGCAGUUCUUUGUUCUUAUAAUCUCAGCUUUUAAUAUUUAAAAAAUAUUUCUAAACCUCUGUCUUUACACAGAAAAGUCCUUCCAAAUGUGCAAAGUUCUUACUCUUUCUGUUGGGAAAAGAAAAUUUAAAUUACCAUAUUGGCCCGAAUAUAAACUGCACCCUAAUAUAAGCCGCACCUUU